AAAUUGAAGAGUUUGAUCAUGGCUCAGAUUGAACGCUGGCGGCAGGCCUAACACAUGCAAGUCGAACGGUAACAGGAAWCAGCUUGCUGWUUYGCUGACGAGUGGCGGACGGGUGAGUAAUGUCUGGGAAACUGCCUGAUGGAGGGGGAUAACUACUGGAAACGGUAGCUAAUACCGCAUAAYGUCGCAAGACCAAAGAGGGGGACCUUCGGGCCUCUUGCCAUCGGAUGUGCCCAGAUGGGAUUAGCUAGUAGGUGGGGUAACGGCUCACCUAGGCGACGAUCCCUAGCUGGUCUGAGAGGAUGA
rnacentral:rRNA from 1 species